GACCAGAACUAUGUCUGGGAGUGGCACACUGCUCAGUAACACGUAGCUAACCUACCCUUAGGACGUGGAUACCCCCGAGAAAUUGGGGUUAAUCCGCGAUAGAUGUAAUGUCCUGGAAUGGUAUUACGUCUAAAGGUAUUUCAUACAUGUUUGAAAUAUGCCUAAGGAUGGGGCUGCGGCCGAUCAGGCUGUUGGUGAGGUAAUGGCUCACCAAACCUUUGACCGGUACGGGCCAUGAGAGUGGUAGCCCGGAGAUGGACACUGAGACAAGGGUCCAGGCCCUAAGGGGCGCAGCAACCGCGAAACCUCCACAAUGCACUCACGUGCGAUGGGGCUAUCUCGAGUGCCACCUGAUGAAGGUGGCUUUUCCUUGGUCUUCAAAGCCUUGGGAAUAAGAGGGGGGCAAGACUGGUGUCAGCCGCCGCGGUAACACCAGCCCCUCGAGUGGUGGGGAUGGUUAUUUGGCCUAAAGCGUCCGUAGCCGGCCGUGAAAGUCUUCCGUUAAAUCCAGCGUCUCAAGCGUUGGACCGCGGGAGAUACUACAUGGCUAGAGAGUGGGAGAGGUCAGCGGUAUUCUGGGGGUAGGGGCGAAAUCCUUUGAUCCCCGGAGGACCACCAGUGGCGAAGGCUGCUGACUAGAACACGUCUGACGGUCAGGGACGAAAGCUGGGGUAGCGAACCGGAUUAGAUACCCGGGUAGUCCCAGCCGUAAACGAUGCAUGCUAGGUGUUGGGUUGGCCACGAGCCACCCCAGUGCCGCAGGGAAGCCGUUAAGCAUGCCGCCUGGGAAGUACGAUCGCAAGAUUGAAACUUAAAGGAAUUGGCGGGGGAGCACCACCAGGCGUGAAGCCUGCGGUUUAAUUGGAUUCAACGCCGGA
rnacentral:rRNA from 1 species